AUAAAGUCAGCUAAUCUUAAGCUAGUGGGUUCAUACCCCAAAAAUGAAAUAUAUUUUCCUUUAUU
rnacentral:tRNA from 1 species